rfam:Pontibacillus yanchengensis Y32 contig119, whole genome shotgun sequence.
GCCGACCUGGCUCAACUGGCAGAGCAACUGACUUGUAAUCAGUAGGUUGGGGGUUCGAGUCCCUCGGUCGGCA